rnacentral:rRNA from 1 species
GACAGAGGGUGCGAACGUUUGUUCGGAAUUACUGGGCGUAAAGCGCAUGUAGGCGGCAGCGCAAGUCGGGCGUGAAAUCCCACGGCUCAACCGUGGAAGUGCACUCGAAACUGCGCAGCUAGAGUCCUGGAGAGGAAGGUGGAAUGCUUGGUGUAGAGGUGAAAUUCGUAGAUAUCAAGCGGAACACCGGUGGCGAAGGCGGCCUUCUGGACAGUGACUGACGCUGAGAUGCGAAAGCGUGGGGAGCAAACAGGG